AUCCCCACAUCCAUCUGCAUGAACGGAACCCCCACCUCAAUACAGUCCAAAAUCCCCAGACCAAUACAGCCCAAAAUCCCCAGACCUAUAGCCAAAAUUCCCCACACCAAUACAGCCAGGCAAACCCUCCACACAAAAUAAUCCAGUGGGAAUCCCUAUACCAAUUGAUGAAACAUCUGACUCCUCUGAGCACCAGGACCAAGAAAUGCAAAGGCCAAAAAGAAAAAUGUGGACAGAUGGAGAUCUAAUCGUUGCUGAAGACGGUGCAACCAUUCAAGCACAAAAGAAAAUCAAAACAACAGAAGAGUGGCUGAACAUGGAUACGGAUAGGCCCACGGUGUCAAGACAUGCAGAGGUAGACACCGAAAUAUUAGAUCAACUAGAAAAACACAAAAGGUAAUUGAUUUAAUAUG